rnacentral:rRNA from 1 species
AGUGAACGCUGGCGGCAUGCCUAACACAUGCAAGUCGAACGGCAGCACAGUAAGCUCUUGCUCUUACGGUUGGCGAGUGGCGGACGGGUGAGGAAUACAUCGGAAUCUACUUUUUCGUGGGUGAUAACGUAGGGAAACUUAUGCUAAUACCGCAUACGACCUACGGGUGAAAGCAGGGGAUCUUCGCACCUUGCGCGACUGAAUUAGCCGAUGCCGGAUUAGCUAGUUGGCGGGGUAAAGGCCCACCAAGGCAACGAUGCGUAGCUGAUCUGAGAGGAUGAUCAGCCACACUGGAACUGAGACACGGUCCAGACUCCUACGGGAGGCAGCAGUAGGGAAUAUUGGGCAAUGGGCGAAAGCCUGAUCCAGCAAUGCCGCGUGGGUGAAGAAGGCCUUCGGGUUGUAAAGCCCUGUUGUUGGGAAAGAAAAGAAGCAGAUUAAACCCUCGCUGUUCUGACGGUACCCAAAGAAUAAGCAACGGCUAACUACGUG